rnacentral:rRNA from 1 species
GACGAACGCUGGCGGCGUGCUUAACACAUGCCAGUCGAACGGAAAGGCCCUGCUUUUGUGGGGUGCUCGAGUGGCGAACGGGUGAGUAACACGUGAGUAACCUGCCCUUGACUUUGGGAUAACUUCAGGAAACUGGGGCUAAUACCGGAUAGGAGCUCCUGCUGCAUGGGGGGGGUUGGAAAGUUUCGGCGGUUGGGGAUGGACUCGCGGCUUAUCAGCUUGUUGGUGGGGUAGUGGCUUACCAAGGCUUUGACGGGUAGCCGGCCUGAGAGGGUGACCGGCCACAUUGGGACUGAGAUACGGCCCAGACUCCUACGGGAGGCAGCAGUGGGGAAUAUUGCACAAUGGGCGGAAGCCUGAUGCAGCAACGCCGCGUGCGGGAUGACGGCCUUCGGGUUGUAAACCGCUUUCGCCUGUGACGAAGCGUGAGUGACGGUAAUGGGUAAAGAAGCACCGGCUAACUACGUG